ACAAGCUUUCGGGAGAACCUCCCUUUCUCAAGUCUGAAGCAUUUCUGAGCAAAACGACACAUAGAAAUGCUUCAGACUUGAGAAAGGGAGGUUCUCCCGAAAGCUUG
rnacentral:miRNA from 1 species